GAUGAAGAACGUAGCGAAAUGCGAUACUUGGUGUGAAUUGCAGAAUCCCGCGAAUCAUCGAGUUUUUGAACGCAAGUUGCGCCCGAAGCCAUUCGGCCGAGGGCACGUCUGCCUGGGUGUCACGCAUCGUUGCCCCCCCCAAACUUCGGUUCGGGCGGGGCAGAAGUUGGCCUCCCGUGCGUGCCUGCGCGUGCGGUUAGCCCAAAAGCGAGUCCUCGACGACGAGCGCCACGAAAAUCGGUGGUUUUUUUGCCCUCGUUCCUCGUCGUGCGUGCCCCGUCGCCCGAACGCGCUCUUGCGACCCUCACGCGUCGCCUCGGUGGCGCUCCCAACGCGACCCCAGGUCAGGCGGGACUACCCGCUGAGUUUAAGCAUAUCAAUAAGCGGAGGA
rnacentral:misc_RNA from 1 species